GCAUUCUGCAACAUCUAUAACAACCAAAUAAGUACAAUUUUACUGCUCAACUCAUCAUUUAAAAAGACUUGUUUCAGAAGGUUAUAAACCAAGCUUUAGCUGUCUCAAUUCAAAAUGGCAGAGAGGACAGGAGGCUAGCCAUGCUGGAGAAGCAGGGCACAUGCUAAAUCUAGCAGCAUGAAGGCCUGAGAACUUUGCAUGUGCCCUUGUUCUCCAGCUUGGACUCUACCUCUUAUGAGCAUAAUAAAGUUCAAAAAAUGAAGAGAGGGCAUACCGUUGCAAGCUGUUGCAUUGUGAAGAACUUGGUCAGAGAAAGAUGGGGGGGUUCUCUUGUGAAGCAGAAGGGCAGAAAUCGGCAAACGUGCUACGAAGAAUAUGAAAGUAGGGAUGUUUAUGAGAAAUGAAAUUAACAUUACAUCAAUUGAGUUGCUUAAAUCAUCAAGCCAAAUGAACACACUGAAAAAAAAAUGGAAAUGAACAUUUCCAGGCUUCAAGAGGCUUGAAGGCAGAAAGGUCCAUGAUUGAAUGAUAUUUUGCAGAUGUGCUCUUGGAAGGCACUGCAGUCAACUUGGCAGUGGAUACAGCAACCUCUGGCUUUGA
rnacentral:misc_RNA from 1 species